UGGGGAUUGGUGUAACGGUAGCACAAGUGAUUCUGAUUCACUUUGUCCUAGUUCAAAUCUAGGAUCCCCAG
rnacentral:tRNA from 1 species